rnacentral:rRNA from 1 species
GCUUAGACCUAAACACAGAUAAUACAAACACAAUAUUAUCCGCCAGAGAACUACAAGCGAAAAGCUUUAAACUCCAAGGAUUUGGCGGUGCUUCAAACCAACCUAGAGGAGCCUGUCCUAUAAUCGAUACCCCACGUUUUACCUCACCCCCCCUUGCAAACCAGCCUAUAUACCGCCGUCGCCAGCCUACCUUAUGAAAGAAACAAAGUAAGCAAAAUAAUUAAUAACUAACACGUCAGGUCAAGGUGUAGCAUAUGGGGCGGCAGAGAUGGGCUACAUUUUUCCCCAACCACACGAACGGCACACUGAAAAACAGCCCGAAGGCGGAUUUAGUAGUAAAAUAGAUAAGAGACUCUAUCUUAAAACCUGCUCUGAAGCGCGC